rnacentral:rRNA from 1 species
UGGGGAAUAUUGGACAAUGGGCGCAAGCCUGAUCCAGCCAUGCCGCGUGAGUGAUGAAGGCCUUAGGGUUGUAAUGCUCUUUUGGCGGGGACGAUAAUGACGGUACCCGCAGAAUAAGCCCCGGCUAACUUCGUGCCAGCAGCCGCGGUAAUACGAAGGGGGCUAGCGUUGUUCGGAAUUACUGGGCGUAAAGCGCACGUAGGCGGAUCAGCAAGUCAGGGGUGAAAUCCCGGGGCUCAACCUCGGAACUGCCUCUGAUACUGCUGGUCUGGAGUCCGGAAGAGGUGGGUGGAAUUCCUAGUGUAGAGGUGAAAUUCGCAGAUAUUAGGAAGAACACCGGUGGCGAAGGCGGCCCACUGGUCCGGUACUGACGCUGAGGUGCGAAAGCGUGGGGAGCAAACAGGAUUAGAUACCCCCGUAGUCCCUGAGCGGGCUGGCAAGGCGCAU